CUGACGGUAGUCGUAUGCUCGUCUCCGAGACUAAGCCAUGCAAGUCCAAGUACACGUCCUUGAACGACGGAAACUGCGAACGGCUCAUUAAAUCAGUUGCGAUCUACUCGGCGUUCCGCGCCGCCGGAUAACCGUAGUAAUUCUAGGGCUAAUACGUGCGAAGCGCCCGAAGCCGCGAGGCGACGGGCGUUCUCGCCGGAUGUAGGAACCGACCCGGGGACCGCCGGGGCAACCCGGCGCCCCCGAGACGGGGCGAACCACGGUGAAAUGACGGAUCGUCGGCCCCGCGCCGGCGACUCGCCGAAUGAGUUUCUGACCUAUCAACUCGAGACGGCGGGGUAGAGGCCCGCCGCGGUAACGACGGGUAACGGGGAAUCAGGGUUCGAUUCCGGAGAGGGAGCCCGAGAAACGGCUACCACUUCCAAGGAAGGCAGCAGGCGCGCAACUUACCCUAAUCUCGAUUCGAGGAGGUAGUGACAAGAAAUACCGAUGCGGA
rnacentral:rRNA from 1 species